GUUAAUGAUCUUGAACAAGAAUAUGUCUUGAAAACAUAAUAAAGAAGCCCAUACUUUCUAUUAACUUU
rnacentral:tRNA from 1 species